GACGAACGCUGGCGGCGUGCUUAACACAUGCAAGUCGAACGGUGAAGCGCCUUCCUUUUUGGUGGGUGUGGAUGAGUGGCGAACGGGUGAGUAACACGUGAGUAACCUGCCCCCUACUUCUGGAGAACCGCAUGAAAGUGAGGCUAAAACGGGUUAGUCUGGGUCUGUCGCAUGAUGGGUCUGGGCAAGAUAUUGUUUCGGUGGGGGAUGGGCUCGCGGCCUAUCAGCUUGGUGGUGGGGUGAUGGCCUACCGAGGCGGUGAGGGGUAGCCGGCCUGGGAUGAUGGGCGGUCACAGUGGUGCGAAAACACGGACAAGACUACGGCAGGAGGCAGCGGGGAGGAUUAUUGAACGGGGGGCGCAAGGAUGAUGCAGCGACGCCGCGUGGGAGAUGGAGGCCGUCUUGUUGUGAACCUCUUUCGGCAGUGAAGCGGGCCUGCCUCGUUUGUGGGUGGGUUGACGUUAGCUGGAGAAGAAGCGCCGGCUAACUACGUG
rnacentral:rRNA from 1 species